AUGCACGCUGGCGGCGUGCCUAAUACAUGCAAGUCGAGCGAACAGUCGAGGAGCUUGCUCCUCUGACGUUAGCGGCGGACGGGUGAGUAACACGUGGAUAACCUACCUAUAAGACUGGGAUAACUUCGGGAAACCGGAGCUAAUACCGGAUAAUAUAUUGAACCGCAUGGUUCAAUAGUGAAAGACGGUUUUGCUGUCACUUAUAGAUGGAUCCGCGCCGCAUUAGCUAGUUGGUAAGGUAACGGCUUACCAAGGCAACGAUGCGUAGCCGACCUGAGAGGGUGAUCGGCCACACUGGAACUGAGACACGGUCCAGACUCCUACGGGAGGCAGCAGUAGGGAAUCUUCCGCAAUGGGCGAAAGCCUGACGGAGCAACGCCGCGUGAGUGAUGAAGGUCUUCGGAUCGUAAAGCUCUGUUAUUAGGGAAGAACAAAUGUGUAAGUAACUAUGCACGUCUUGACGGUACCUAAUCAGAAAGCCACGGCUAACUACGUG
rnacentral:rRNA from 1 species